ensembl:lncRNA
CCGGCUGAGCCACGGCUGCAGGGACUCUGCCCCCGCCGUGCCGGGGAGCGGCCCGUCCUCGCUACGGGAGGAAACGCCGCUCACCUGCGAGAAGCCGGGGUGGAGGUUGGGGAUUCUUUGCCUCGCCUCUGGUCCGAGACCGGCGGGACUGGGGCGCUGGGGAAGAUCUGCCCGCUCCCGAUUGCCAAACUGCUAAGUGAGAUAAUGACAAGAGGAAAAGGAUUGCCGAAUGGUUUGGGUGGGGACAGGUGAUUUCAGGGGUAAAUAUGCACGGAGCGGUUGGGCAAGGAGAGGUGGGGGAGCCGAUAGCCGCCUGCAGAUGUUUGGGAAAGGUAAUCCCCCGGCCGGGGCGGGGCUUGCUCGGAGCAAAAAAGCAUAAUGAAGAGCAAUGGGAUUAAACGAGUGAGAGGUACGCGUUUAGUGAGAUUAUUGGGCGGCAGACCCCCAGACCCCUCCCUGCCGCUGGAUCAGUAAAACAGAUCAUUCGGUUCGCUGGCUGCAAGAGUGUCUGCCCCCCCGCGCAGACACCUUUGCUUAGCCCGGGUGGGGCUCCUUAGCCCUGUGGUUUAAGAGCCUUUGCCCCUCUGUAGGAGCAGGGGAGCCAGGCAGCACGCCUCAGCGCUGGCCGGGUGGCUGCCAUCGCACGGACAGCAGGUAGGUGGUCACCAGUACCACGGCCUGGGGCAGCCUUCUGGCGUGCCUGAUAUGUUCCUGCAUUCCAGUCCCGUAUUCCUAUCAGCUCAGAGAUUUUACAGCCUUUAAAGUCUUUAGUAAGUUUCUUCAAAAAUGAAACGCGCUGCUGUGAACAUGCCUAUGCCAGCUCUGAAUUGGAGCCGGAGUCGUGUCGCUUUGAAGCCGGUGCUGUUGAUGCCUUCUCCAGACGAAACGCCCAAACAAGGCAGUUACCACCGGAACAGAGCAAGACAACUUGUUUAUCAGACAGAGGAAUGCUCCUCAGCAGCACAGGGCAGGAGGAAGAGGGAGCUGCCGUCUCCAGGCCCAGCGUGGGCAGUUCAGAGAUGGUCUGCAUUGUUCUACAUCAGGAUAACAAGGCGCUUCCGCAGCCCCUUUCCUGUGGGAAUCCCAACAGGAAAUGUGAUUUCCACUCUUUCCCAGAGCUGCUGCUGGGCUCCCUGUCUCAGCCGCUGUCACAAGACACAGCAGUUUGUGAGAUCGCUGUGGUCUGAACGGAGCUGCCUGCUCAAAACAUUGGGUUCCCAUCGCCCACAGCGGGCCCAAGAGGCAGAGGGCUGUUUGUGCCACACUCUGCAUGAAAAGCACUUUCUGUGGGCUGGAACAGAUCACACGCUUUGA